rnacentral:sRNA from 1 species
CUCAAUACACAAGAUAUUUCAUAAAUCAUUCUCAGUUUACUUUGUGUACACCAAAAAUUGAAGGUUUUACAUACCAGAUAAGCAAAUUAUAUAUGUUAAUAACUAACAGUUUUCUAAAAAUAUUCCAAUUUAAUCAUAGGUAGCAAAAAGAAAUCAUAGGUAGCAAAAAGGUUUAGUAGAUAUGAAUAAAGCACUUCUGGAAUAAUUUAGCUUAUUGCUGUAGAUUCAGCUUUGCUUUCUGUGCUAUUACCAUAAAGUAUGAAAUAGUGAAAACUUUGAAUCACUGUCUGUCGUUCGUGGCUGACAUAUCAAAGUUUAAUAAAAAGUCAGGGUCUGCUACCUUUGACCUUCUUUGUUAUAAGUCUUUAUUAUGUUACGAUUUGUCUUUUACUGACAAGUUGUUGUUUUUUAUUAAUUUCUUUUUACCAAUUUUCAUUGUCCUAGUUGAAGUUUAAAAGAAUUAUGAUGUUUGCUAUGUCUUUGUCCCCAAUGUUCAUGCUUUAGCAAAUGUAAGUAAAAAGAGGUGGCUCAUGCCUUAAUGACAUUGUUAACAUGCAUCGUUGGAAUUUGCAAAAGUAGAUAUGCAUACAUAGGCAAAGCAUCUCUUGGAAAUCUUUUAGUUAGUAUUUGUUUCAAUUUCCCAAGGAAGAACUUUUAUGACACACUUGAAGACACAUAGAUAUACUUCUUGCACAAUCAAUUUUUAGAAAUUUGAAAUGGAGAGGCUCCUUGAAUGAUUUGAAUGCUUUCACGAACAUAAAUAUUUAUGUGAUUUGAUGGGAUGAAUGUACCAUUAUUUAAUUGAUAUAUAAUAGUCUUGUGGUGUUCAUCUUAAUGUUUUAUUUUCUCAGAUAACCUCUAAUUAUAAACAGCAUGUGGAGAAACUUACUCAUACAGGCUUUGUAUCAAGUUACUGUCCUCCUUGCACUCAACUUUGCAAGCUUGAUCAUUCUUCAUUUGAAGGAUGAUGGUAACAGGGAACAUGCUUUUGAAUUGAAGAAUACUUUGAUGUUCAAUGCAUUUGUAAUGUGUCAGUGUGCACAAGAUGGGUAAAUGCAAGGCUUGCGGGAAAUUAGGAAGCAUGCUACCAAGGGAUGGGCCCGUGAAUACUUACUAUUCUGCUCUGUUGUGUUCUCUUGUUGUUUCUGUUUGGGAUUCAUUGUCCAUGAGAUGAGAUAUUCUUACAGACCUGAGUGGGCGUAGUCUUAGUGUUAUAGGAUUAUAUUAGUUCUCAAUAAGAGAAUUAUUUAGAAAUAGGUGGCAUCGAAAGUUUAGUUGAAAGGAAAAAGUUAAAGAGGAAAAAAGAUAGCUUUAUAGGGAAAUGUAUACAAU